rnacentral:rRNA from 1 species
UACGUAGGGGGCUAGCGUUGUCCGGAUUUAUUGGGCGUAAAGAGCGUGUAGGCGGCCAGGUAGGUCUGGUGUGAAAACUCGAGGCUUAACCUCGAGAUGUCAUCGGAAACCAUCUGGCUAGAGUCCGGAAGAGGAAAGUGGAAUUCCAAGUGUAGCGGUGAAAUGCGUAGAGAUUUGGAGGAACACCAGUGGCGAAGGCGACUUUCUGGUCUGUAACUGACACUGAGGCGCGAAAGCGUGGGGAGCGAACAGG